rnacentral:rRNA from 1 species
GUGCCAGCCGCCGCGGUAAUACAGAGGGUGCGAGCGUUGUCCGGAAUCACUGGGCGUAAAGGGCGCGUAGGCGGUCUGCUAAGCGUGCGGUGAAAGCUCGGGGCUCAACCCCGCGUCGGCCGUGCGAACUGGUGGACUGGAGCCGAUCAGAGGCAGGCGGAAUUCCGGGUGUAGCGGUGGAAUGCGUAGAGAUCCGGAAGAACACCGGUGGCGAAGGCGGCCUGCUGGGAUCGUGCUGACGCUGAGGCGCGACAGCGUGGGGAGCAAACAGGAUUAGAUACCCUGGUAGUCC